rnacentral:rRNA from 1 species
GAUGAACGCUGGCGGCGUGCCUAACACAUGCAAGUCGAACGGAGAUGCGAUGUGAGCGAGAGGUGCUUGCACUGAUUAAUCUUUUCGUAUCUUAGUGGCGGACGGGUGAGUAACGCGUGGGUAACCUGCCCUUAUACCCGGGGGAUAACACUUAGAAAUAGCUGCUAAUACCGCAUAAGCGCACGGUUCCGCAUGGAACAGUGUGAAAAACUCCGGUGGUGUGAGAUGGACCCGCGUCUGAUUAGCCAGUUGGCGGGGUAACGGCCCACCAAAGCGACGAUCAGUAGCCGGCCUGAGAGGGUGAACGGCCACAUUGGGACUGAGACACGGCCCCAAAACUCCCUAACGGGAGGCAGCAGUGGGGAAUAUUGCACAAUGGGGGAAACCCUGAUGCAGCGACGCCGCGUGAGUGAAG